rnacentral:misc_RNA from 1 species
GCAAACUUGGUCAUUUAGAGGAAGUAAAAGUCGUAACAAGGUUUCCGUAGGUGAACCUGCGGAAGGAUCAUUAUUGAAUUUGUAGGCGUAAGGUUGUAGCUGGCCAGUAAAAUGGCAUGUGCACACCUGGGUCUGCUUAUCCACAUAUACACCUGUGAACCAUACCAUGUGGGGUCCUUACAGGCCUUGCAUGUCUUCAUAUACCCUUUGUAUGUUUAUAGAAUGUAUGACACAUGUCAUUUGCCUUAAAACGCAAUUGAAAUACAACUUUCAACAACGGAUCUCUUGGCUCUCGCAUCGAUGAAGAACGCAGC